rnacentral:rRNA from 1 species
GACGAACGCUGGCGGCGUGCUUAACACAUGCAAGUCGAGCGGUAAGGCCCUUUCGGGGGUACACGAGCGGCGAACGGGUGAGUAACACGUGGGUGACCUGCCCUCAGCUCUGGGAUAAGCCUGGGAAACCGGGUCUAAUACCGGAUAUGACUCCAUGACGCAUGUUGUGGGGUGGAAAGCCUUGUGCGGCUGAGGAUGGGCCCGCGGCCUAUCAGCUUGUUGGUGGGGUNAUGGCCUACCAAGGCGACGACGGGUAGCCGGCCUGAGAGGGCGACCGGCCACACUGGGACUGAGACACGGCCCAGACUCCUACGGGAGGCAGCAGGUGGGGAAUCUUGCGCAAUGGGCGAAAGCCUGACGCAGCGACGCCGCGUGAGGGAU